AUGCGCAUAACAAUGGUGACAGGUGUGUGUAGUAAUGAGCCUGACGACCUCGAGCGCCGGAGAGGGAGUAUACAAGCUGCAACGGUGUUGGAAAAAAAAAAAACAUUCUGGUGCGAAAUGAAAACCACAUGUUGUGAAUCUGGUUCCCAAGGCCAGCAGAGAAGCUGUUUGUGUUACACUACUUUGAUAGGGAACAGAAAAAUGAUGGGAAAGGACUUUACCUCCCACCUCUCGCUCUUCUCUCUCUGCCAUGCUCUCAGCCUCACUCCCUCUGCCACUCCUUCUCUCUCUGCCAUGCUCUCAGUCUCUCUCUCUCAAUUCAAUGGGUUUUAUUGGCAUGGGGGACAUACUGUAUGUUUACAUUGGGUUUUAUUGGCAUGGGGACAUGCUGUAUGUUUACAUUGGGUUUUAUUGGCAUGGGAACAUACUGUAUGUUUACAUUGGGUUUUAUUGGCAUGGGGACAUGCUGUAUGUUUACAUUGGGUUUUAUUGGCAUGGGAACAUACUGUAUGUUUACAUUGGGUUUUAUUGGCAUGGGGACAUGCUGUAUGUUUACAUUGGGUUUUAUUGGCAUGGGAACAUACUGUAUGUUUACAUUGGGUUUUAUUGGCAUGGGGACAUGCUGUAUGUUUACAUUGGGUUUUAUUGGCAUGGGAACAUACUGUAUGUUUACAUUGGGUUUUAUUGGCAUGGGAACAUACUGUAUGUUUACAUUGGGUUGUAUUGGCAUGGGGGAACAUACUGUAUGUUUACAUUGGGUUUUAUUGGCAUGGGAAACAUACUGUAUGUUUACAUUGGGUUGUAUUGGCAUGGGGAACAUACUGUAUGUUUACAUUGGGUUUUAUUGGCAUGGGAACAUACUGUAUGUUUAGAUUGCCAAAGCAAGUGAAAUAAACAAACAAAAGUGAGAAGAAACUAAUUGAACAACUUCAACAAAACACGAUUAGAAAUUACAAGUGAACGUCGCACUCAAAAAGGUUGAAAAAAUAUAGACAAUGUAAGUGUUAUUAUCAGCUAUGUUUUAGCAAUGUGCAAAUAGUUGUAGUAUGGGGACGAUAAACAUAAACAUUGGUGGUAUUUAUAAUGCUGUUUGUGCUCCACUGGCUGCCCUUUUCUCAUGGCAACAGGCCACACAUCUCGCUGCUGUGAUUACACACUGCGGUAUUUCACCUAGAAGAUAUGGGUGUUAUCAAUGCUGGAUUUGUUUAAUUCGUUUUCAAAUUCUCUCUCUCUCUCUCUCGACAGGAAACAAAACAGCGGGGGGAGGGGCUAAAGGAAUAUGUUUGCCUUGUGAUUCCAUGCAUCUCGGUCAGCCUGUGAGAUGACGGCAGCCAGAACAGAUGUUCAGAGACGGAAGAACUGGGGUGCAUCCCAAAUGAAACCCUAUCCUCUACCACUCCCCUAUGGCCCCUGGUCGAAGGAAGUGCACUAAAUAGGGAAAUAUUGCCAUUUGGGACACAGCCUCAAAGAAGGAUCCCUGUAAGUCCAGAAAUAGAACCACCACCGACCAACCAGCAGCAGGCCUGUCGCCUGGGCCUGAGGAAGGAAGAGAAACUCUAUCUGUUUGGCAUUAGCAGCCAGACUCAAACACACCCAGAGAGGAGCAACGGGAGAGAGGAGGAACGUGUGUGCCUGUGUCUGUGUGUGUGUGUGUGUGUGUGUGUGUGUGUGUGUGUGUGUGUGUGUGUGCCUGUGUGUGUGUGUGUGUGUGUAUGCGUCCGUGCGUGUGACCUCUGGGACCCAACAGGCCUAUAAGUAAUAGGAUGUUAUUUUACCCUAUGUAAAGGCCUCUGUGUUCUUCCCAGCAGAAACAGUUUGUGCAUGUAUUUCUGUGAUGUUUUUGUUUGUUUUGGUCUUCGGCAGGUGUUUUUGUGGCUGUACGGGCGCACAACAUUUCACAAGGCAAUCCGAAGUCGACACCCCUUCAUCGGUUAUUGGUCAACAGUAGGGAUUCUUCAAUGAAGUGUCUGUUAGAACACUUCGUUUAUAGAACACUCAUUUCCUAGCGGUUAAGGGCAUUGAGCCAGUAACUGAAAGGUCACUGGGUCGAAUCCCUAAGGUGGAAAAAUCUGCCGUUCUGCCCUUGAGCAAGGCAGUUAGCCAACAACAAGGCAGCCCCCUGCACCUCUCUGAUUCAGAGGGGUUGGGUUAAAUGUGGAAGACACAUUUCGGUAAAAUGCAUUCAGAUGUACAACUGACUAGGUAUCCCCUUUCCCUUCCCCUUGAAAAAUACUGCACCAAACAUCUUAGUUAAAUGGACAAUUGUUUGACUAAGAUCUUCUUAGCAAAAAAAAAAAUCCAAAUGAAUGACAGAUUUCAUGAGUUCGAUGAAUUGUAACUAUUU
rnacentral:lncRNA from 13 species